UUCACAUGUGAGUCAGUGUUGCCUUAUCAGCUACUUCUUCACAUUGGCUGAGAGAGCUCAGUGUACUGCAGCUAAAAAUGUGCUGUGAGAGGAAGGAGGGAGGGAUUAAGGGAGGAACAAAACUGGGACUCAAGUACAGAAAAGACAGACUUUCACAGUGCUGUUUCAUAUGAAAACCAGACAGAUUCUCUUUAAGAUGCUGUCAGUGAACUUCAGUCUGUUUGUCACUUUGUGUCUGCUCACAAUCAGAGGUGUCAGCUGUGAAGAUCUCAGUCCAGUCAAAGAUGAACAGUCCAGUUUAGAAGACAGCUCUGUUACUCUGUCCUACAGAUACAGCAAGAAAGCUGCAGCUGAUGAUUACUUCUUCUGGUAUCGACAAGAUCCAGGAAAGCCACCAGAGCUCCUCACCUCUCACUCAGGAACAGGAAGAAUAUUAAUGAGUCCAAAGUCUGGACUGUCUGUUACAGUGAGUGAGGAAAACACUCACAUGAAUGUUCAGAUCUCCUCUGCUGCAGUGACAGACUCUGCUCUGUACUACUGUGCUGUGAGGCCCACAGUGACAGCAAACCCACAGUCUCUGUACAAAAACACAAGCUGACACACUGACAAGCUGCUGGAAGCCUUUUUUCCACACUGUUGGACUCAACUUUUUACCUCCACUAGAGGGCGACAUUAUCAAGUAGGCGGUGCACUACUUCUGCACUGUGUUCAACCAUUGUGUCAAUAAUAAGUGCUGCUGUGAAGAGAACAAUUCUCACACUGAAUGUUGAACAGCAGCUGCUUUCUCCUGUUGCUUUAAACCUUGUUGUACAGAUGGAACUUUGGCUGUGGAUUAUUCUUGCUGCUCUUUUCUUUGGUGAGACACAAAGAACAACAUGUUUUUAUUCUCUUCUAAAGACUGACGCAAACUGGAGUUCAGAGCAGAAAUCUGUUUCUGUCCACACAGUAACUCUGUACACAUGAUAUUUUCCACUGUCUUCUCCUCUCAGCCUCAUGAACAAUGUUAGUCUAAUGGCUUCAUUUCCUCCUCUUC